AUUGAACGCUGGCGGAAUGCUUUACACAUGCAAGUCGAACGGCAGCACGGGGGCAACCCUGGUGGCGAGUGGCGAACGGGUAAGUAAUACAUCGGAACGUGCCCAGUCGUGGGGGAUAACGUAGCGAAAGUUACGCUAAUACCGCAUACGAUCUACGGAUGAAAGCGGGGGACCGUAAGGCCUCGCGCGAUUGGAGCGGCCGAUGUCAGAUUAGGUAGUUGGUGAGGUAAAGGCUCACCAAGCCGACGAUCUGUAGCUGGUCUGAGAGGACGACCAGCCACACUGGGACUGGGACACGGCCCAGACUCCUACGGGAGGCAGCAGUGGGGAAUUUUGGACAAUGGGCGCAAGCCUGAUCCAGCCACUCCGCGUGCAGGACGAAGGCCUUCGGGUUGUAAACUGCUUUUGUACGGAACGAAAAGGCUCUGGUUAAUACCUGGGGCUCAUGACGGUACCGUAAGAAUAAGCACCGGCUAACUACGUGCCAGCCGCCGCAGUAA
rnacentral:rRNA from 1 species